UACGUUCCCGGGGCUUGUACACACCGCCCGUCACGCCACGAAAGUCGGCAACACCCGAAGCCGGUGGCCUAACCGCAAGGAAGGAGCCGUCGAAGGUGGGGUCGGUGAUUGGGGUG
rnacentral:rRNA from 1 species